AGUCAACAUGCCCAAAGGACGUGGAUAACCUCGGGAAACUGAGGAUAAACCGCGAUAGGCCAAGGUUUCUGGAAUGAACCACGGCCGAAAUCUAUAUGGCCUUUGGAUUGGACUGCGGCCGAUCAGGCUGUUGGUGAGGUAAUGGCCCACCAAACCUGUAACCGGUACGGGCUUUGAGAGAAGGAGCCCGGAGAUGGGCACUGAGACAAGGGCCCAGGCCCUAUGGGGCGCAGCAGGCGCGAAACCUCUGCAAUAGGCGAAAGCCUGACAGGGUUACUCUGAGUGAUGCCCGCUAAGGGCAUCUUUUGGCACCUCUAAAAACGGUGCAGAAUAAGGGGUGGGCAAGUCUGGUGUCAGCCGCCGCGGUAAUACCAGCACCCCGAGUAGUCGGGACGAUUAUUGGGCCUAAAGCAUCCGUAGCCUGUUCUGCAAGUCCUCCGUUAAAUCCACCUGCUUAACGGAUGGGCUGCGGGGGAUACUGCAGAGCUAGGAGGCGGGAGAGGCAAACGGUACUCAGUGGGUAGGGGUAAAAUCCAUUGAUCUACUGAAGACCACCAGUGGCGAAGGCGGUUUGCCAGAACGCGCUCGACGGUGAGGGAUGAAAGCUGGGGGAGCAAACCGGAUUAGAUACCCGGGUAGUCCCAGCUGUAAACGAUGCAGACUCGGUGAUGGGUUGGCCUCGAGCCAACCCAGUGCCGCAGGGAAGCCGUUAAGUCUGCCGCCUGGGGAGUACGGUCGCAAGACUGAAACUUAA
rnacentral:rRNA from 1 species